GACGAACGCUGGCGGCGUGCUUAACACAUGCAAGUCACGGGGGGCCCGCAAGGGUCAACCGGCGAACGGGUGCGUAACACGUGAGCGACCUGCCCAAUUGCGGGGGAUAGCCGGCCCAACGGCCGGGUAAUACCGCAUACGCUUCCCUGGGGGCAUUCUUGGGGAAGGAAACCUACGGGGCGAUUGGAGGGGCUCGCGGCCUAUCAGCUAGUUGGCGAGGUAACGGCUCACCAAGGCGAUGACGGGUAGCUGGUCUGAGAGGAUGGCCAGCCACAUUGGGACUGAGAGACGGCCCAGACUCCUACGGGAGGCAGCAGUGGGGAAUCUUGCGCAAUGGCCGAAAGGCUGACGCAGCGACGCCGCGUGGAGGAUGACGCCCUUC
rnacentral:rRNA from 1 species